GUGGGUCUGUGUAAGCAUUUAUAAAAAUAACACUAUUUCUUGAAUCUCAUAUGAUCCACCAGCAGACUAUUAGACUGGUUAAUCUUAUUCGAAUAGAUUGCGAUCUAUCUAUUUCUUAACAUCCACCUAUUUCACGUGCUUCUCAUGUCGUCCUUCAAAUCUCUAGACUCAACUCUCUCUAGGGUUAUCGCAAUCAGAAAUUUAUUAAUAACACAUUGUGUGAAUAGAUGGUCCACUGUCUCCUCUUCGACGUCAUAGAGCGCAUAUUUUGUGUUUCCCGUCCACUAUCUAUACUACUUAUAAAAGCGUGAGUUUUGAAAUUUUUUUCUUUCCAAAAAUGUCUCUAUCUUUUUUACUAAUAUUGUCAUGUCCAGUAAAUUUCAACCACUCAUUUUAAAUAAAUCUUUAAAUAAUAAUUUAUUCUUAAAUAUAGAUCUUAAGUUUUCGCCAUUAGAUCUCAACCAACGAAUAAAAAUAAAAGUAUCUGUCAUUUUUGUUGACAAAAUUACCCUCUAUAUCCGUUAUCUCCCAUCUACGCCGCGUUUCUCAGAUAUUUUUUUUUCUACCCACCAUACGUAAAACUAAAUUUAUCUCUUAUCUAACGUAAUACCCGCCAAUCAUGCAAUACCUUCGCUAAUCACAUAAUACGUAAAAUUAAAUUUAUUUGCUGUCAACAUGUAGUAUUCAAAAUUAAACUUGAAAUUGGUAAUGCCCGCAUAAAUUUAAUACCCGCGAAUUUGAUAAUUUUAAUUUUAAUUUAUGAUAGUAGGUUUUUCCUUAAAUAAAAUAGUAGAUUUAAUUUCGACGAGUAUUAAAAUUUGGCGCGCCAUAAAAGCGUUAAAUAUUGUUUAAAAUAUUUUAAUACCCCAAAUCAAAACUAAAUCGUUAAUUAAAUAUAAUUUUAAAUAUUUUUAACAAAAUAUUCAAUAUUUAAAUAAUGCGUCGUAAAAGCAUAGAAUAUUUUUUAAAAAAAUUAAUACCUGCCCAAUCAAAACAAAAUCGUUAAUUAAAUAUAAUUUUAAAUAUUUUUACCAAAAUAUUCAACACCAAAAUAUUCUCCGAGUUCUCAAAUAUAAAAUAUAUUUCAUCUAUUUUAAAUAAAUCUUCAAAUAAUAAUUUAUUCUCAAAUAUAGAUCUUAAGUUUUCGCUAUUGGAUAUUAUCCAACAAAUAAAAAUAAAAGUAUCUAUUAUUUUUGUUGACAAAAAUAUCCUCUUUUUCAAAUAUUUUUUUCUACCCAACAAUCAUGUAAUACGUAAAACUAAAUUUAUCUCUUAUCUAACGUCCUACCCGCCAAUCACAUAAUAUCUCCGCUAAUCACGUAAUAGGUAAAAUUAAAUUUAUUUGCUGCCAACAUGUAAUGCCCGCAAAAAUUUAAUACCCGCGAAUUUGAUAAUUUGAAUUUUAAUUUAUCAUAGUAGAUUUUUUCGUAAAUAAAAUACCAGAUCUAAUUGUGACCAAAAUUAAAAUUUGGCGUACCAUAAAAGCGUUAAACACCGUCAAAAAUAUUUUAAUACCCGCGAAUAUCAUAAACUAAAUCGUUAAUUAAAAAUAAUUUUAAAUAUUUUUACCAAAAUAUUCAACACCAAUAAAAUUAUCCAAGAACUCAAAUAUAAAAUAUAUUGGAUCGAUUUGAAAUAUAAUCUUGAAAUAGAUUAAUUUUCAAAUAUAGAUCUUAAGAUAACGCUAACACACAUUAGCCAACGAAUAAAAAUAAAAAUAACUAAUUAUUUUGGAUGACAAAAAUAUGCUAUGAAUCAAAUAUAGAUUCAUACUCAACAAUCAAGAUAAUACGUAAAACUAAAUUCAUUAGCAUUUGGAGAGACACUAUUGUAAACAAUUCAGUUAUUGUAUAAAAAUAGUGCACUUUAAUAUCGAUAAUUAGGAUAAAUGUACUUUUUAAUAUUUUAUUUUUUUAUGGUAUUUUAAAUUUAUUUAUCAGGAUCAAUUUAGCAAAAUUUUAUAAGUAAAAUUGUGCUUAAUCCACUUAUUCCAAAAACUCAAGAAAUAAAAUUAAGCUAAAUUUUUUACUUAUAUGAAUUCUUAUUAAAUUUACAUUUUUUUUUAAUUUUAUCUAUUCUGAUGAUUUACUAAUAUUUAUUUUAUUGUUUUUUUUACUUACAAUGCAAUUUGUACGGAAGGGGAACUAAUGGUGACAUUUUCAAAUAGUUUAGUGACGAAUUUUGUAUUUUUUUUAUUAGGGUUAUUUGCAUACACGUCCCUGCAAACAUAGUGAAUUGCGGAAAUAUCCCUGCAAAACGGAAACUCCAUAAGUUGUCCCUACAAAAGUCCUAAUUUAUGCAGAUAUGUCCCUCUGAUUAACAUCUGUUAGAGAACUGUUUAUUUUUUAACAGUUUUCAUGUAAAAUGACCAUUUUGCCCUCACAAAUAUAUCCCUCCAAAAGCAUCUUCCCCUUCUCUUUCUCUUCCCCUUCCUCUUCGGGCCGCCGGAGCGGAUGGUGGUGAUGGCACGGGUCGAGCUCGCCGGCGACGAAGAAGAGGGAAGAGAAAGAAUGAGAGGAAGAAAAAAAGGGAAGAGGAAGAAGGAGAGGAAGAGGGAGAGGAAGAGGGAAGAGAAAGAUGAGGAGGGAAAGGGUUCGUCGCCGCGCGUCGCCGCCACAUCUCCUCCUUCGCCGGUGACGAAGAAGAGGUAAGAGGAAGAGGAAGAGGAAAAGAAAAAGGUAGAGGAAGAAGAAGAGGGAGAGGGAGAGGGUUUGCCGUUGCCGUCGCAUCUUCUCCCUCGCCGGCGAUGAAGAAGAGGGAAGAGGAAAAGGGAGAGGAAGAAAAAGGGAGAAAAGGGAAGAGGGAGAGGAAGAAGGAGGAAAAGAAAGAGAGAGGGUUCGCCGUCGCCGCCGUCGUCGCCGCCGUCGCUGCCGCCGCCGCCCUCGCCGGCGACGAAGAAGAGGAAAGAAGAAGAGGAGGAAGAAGAAGAAGGGUAGAAUCGUAAAUUUACGUUAUAAUUAACCAUGGUUAAGUAUUUUAACCGUGGUUAACGAAAAUUUUCUAACAGUACUUAACGGCAGGGACAUAUCUGCAUAACUUUAGACUUUUGCAGGGAUAACUUAUAAAGUUUCCGUUUUGCAGGGAUAUUUCUGCAAUUCACUAUAUUUGUAGGGACGUGUAUGCAAAUAACCUUUUUUUUAAUAAUACCAUGAUAGAUUUUGUGUUCUUUCUUUUAUGAUAUUGUAAUUCUAUUUUUUAUUUCUAUCAUUUUAUUUUAGUAAUGAUUAAAUAUUAUUUAUCGAAUCUAUAAUAUUUAUUUAUAAAUUUUUUUUUUUAGUAUUUGUGUGACGUGCGUUGCACGUGCACUUAACUAGUUUCUUCAAAAGGUUGUCUAUUGUAGCUGUUCUUUUUCUAAGGAUGAGCCAGGUAAAUACUUGCACUUUCAGGAGUAUUUCGAGUCUCCAAAUCUUACUUGCGUGAGCAUCCCUUGU
rnacentral:lncRNA from 1 species